GCUUCCAUGGCUCAGUCGGUAGAGCGACGCACUCGUAAUGCGUAGGUCAUCGGUUCGAAUCCGAUUGGAAGCU
rnacentral:tRNA from 1 species